rnacentral:rRNA from 1 species
UACGAAGGGGGCUAGCGUUGCUCGGAAUUACUGGGCGUAAAGCGCACGUAGGUGGCUUUUUAAGUCGGGGGUGAAAUCCUGGAGCUCAACUCCAGAACUGCCCUCGAUACUGGGAAGCUUGAGUUCGGGAGAGGUGAGUGGAACUGCGAGUGUAGAGGUGAAAUUCGUAGAUAUUCGCAAGAACACCAGUGGCGAAGGCGGCUCACUGGCCCGGUACUGACGCUGAGGUGCGAAAGCGUGGGGAGCAAACAGG